AACGAACGCUGGCGGCAUGCCUAACACAUGCAAGUCGAACAAGACCUUCGGGUCUAGUGGCGCACGGGUGCGUAACGCGUGGGAACCUGCCCUUAGGUUCGGAAUAACUCCCCGAAAGGGGUGCUAAUACCGGAUAAUGUCUUCGGACCAAAGAUUUAUCGCCUUUGGAUGGGCCCGCGUUGGAUUAGCUAGUUGGUAGGGUAAAAGCCUACCAAGGCGACGAUCCAUAGCUGGUCUGAGAGGAUGAUCAGCCACACUGGGACUGAGACACGGCCCAGACUCCUACGGGAAGCAGCAGUGGGGAAUAUUGGACAAUGGGCGAAAGCCUGAUCCAGCAAUGCCGCGUGAGUGAUGAAGGCCUUAGGGUUGUAAAGCUCUUUUACCCGGGAUGAUAAUGACAGUACCGGGAGAAUAAGCUCCGGCUAACUCCGUG
rnacentral:rRNA from 1 species